rnacentral:misc_RNA from 1 species
UUUCCGUAGGUGAACCUGCGGAAGGAUCAUUACUGAGUGAGGGCCCUCUGGGUCCAACCUCCAACCCGUGUUUAUUGUACCUUGUUGCUUCGGUGAGCCCGCCCCACGGCCCCCGGGGGGCAUCCGCCCCGGGCCCGCGCUCGCCGAAGACACACUUGAACUCUGUCUGAAGUUUGCAUUCUGAGCGAAAACUAAAUAAGUUAAAACUUUCAACAACGGAUCUCUUGGUUCCG